rnacentral:rRNA from 1 species
GACGAACGCUGGCGGCGUGCUUAACACAUGCAAGUCGAACGGAAAGGCCCUGCAUUUGUGGGGUGCUCGAGUGGCGAACGGGUGAGUAACACGUGAGUAACCUGCCCUUGACUUUGGGAUAACUUCAGGAAACUGGGGCUAAUACCGGAUAGGAGCUCCUGCUGCAUGGUGGGGGUUGGAAAGGUUCGGCGGUUGGGGAUGGACUCGCGGCUUAUCAGCUUGUUGGUGGGGUAGUGGCUUACCAAGGCUUUGACGGGUAGCCGGCCUGAGAGGGUGACCGGCCACGUUGGGACUGAGAUACGGCACAGACUCCUACGGUACGCAGCAGCGGGUAAUAAUGCACGAUGGGCGGAAGCCUGAUGCAGCAACGCCGCGUGCGGGAUGACGGCCUUCGGGUUGGAAACCGCUUUCGCCUGUGACGAAUCGUGAGUGACGGUAAUGUGUAAAGAAGCACCGGCUAACUACGUG